rnacentral:rRNA from 1 species
GAUGAACGCUGGCGGCGUGCCUAAUACAUGCAAGUCGAGCGAACGGACGAGAAGCUUGCUUCUCUGAUGUUAGCGGCGGACGGGUGAGUAACACGUGGAUAACCUACCUAUAAGACUGGGAUAACUUCGGGAAACCGUAGCUAAUACCGGAUAAUAUUUUGAACCGCAUGGUUCAAAAGUGAAAGACGGUCUUGCUGUCACUUAUAGAUGGAUCCGCGCUGCAUUAGCUAGUUGGCAAGGUAACGGCUUACCAAGGCAACGAUGCAUAGCCGACCUGAGAGGGUGAUCGGCCACACUGGAACUGAGACACGGUCCAGACUCCUACGGGAGGCAGCAGUAGGGAAUCUUCCGCAAUGGGCGAAAGCCUGACGGAGCAACGCCGCGUGGGUGAUGAAGGUCUUCGGAUCGUAAAACUCUGUUAUUAGGGAAGAACAUAUGUGUAAGUAACUGUGCACAUCUUGACGGUACCUAAUCAGAAAGCCACGGCUAACUACGUGCCAGCAGCCGCGGUAAUACGUAGGUGGCAAGCGUUAUCCGGAAUUAUUGGGCGUAAAGCGCGCGUAGGCGGUUUUUUAAGUCUGAUGUGAAAGCCCACGGCUCAACCGUGGAGGGUCAUUGGAAACUGGAAAACUUGAGUGCAGAAGAGGAAAGUGGAAUUCCAUGUGUAGCGGUGAAAUGCGCAGAGAUAUGGAGGAACACCAGUGGCGAAGGCGACUUUCUGGUCUGUAACUGACGCUGAUGUGCGAAAGCGUGGGGAUCAAACAGGAUUAGAUACCCUGGUAGUCCACGCCGUAAACGAUGAGUGCUAAGUGUUAGGGGGUUUCCGCCCCUUAGUGCUGCAGCUAACGCAUUAAGCACUCCGCCUGGGGAGUACGACCGCAAGGUUGAAACUCAAAGGAAUUGACGGGGACCCGCACAAGCGGUGGAGCAUGUGGUUUAAUUCGAAGCAACGCGAAGAACCUUACCAAAUCUUGACAUCCUUUGACAACUCUAGAGAUAGAGCCUUCCCCUUCGGGGGACAAAGUGACAGGUGGUGCAUGGUUGUCGUCAGCUCGUGUCGUGAGAUGUUGGGUUAAGUCCCGCAACGAGCGCAACCCUUAAGCUUAGUUGCCAUCAUUAAGUUGGGCACUCUAAGUUGACUGCCGGUGACAAACCGGAGGAAGGUGGGGAUGACGUCAAAUCAUCAUGCCCCUUAUGAUUUGGGCUACACACGUGCUACAAUGGACAAUACAAAGGGCAGCGAAACCGCGAGGUCAAGCAAAUCCCAUAAAGUUGUUCUCAGUUCGGAUUGUAGUCUGCAACUCGACUACAUGAAGCUGGAAUCGCUAGUAAUCGUAGAUCAGCAUGCUACGGUGAAUACGUUCCCGGGUCU